GACGAACCGGACAAACGUUAUUCGGAAUUACUGGGCUUAAAGGGUUUGUAGGCGGCCUUGUAAGUCAGGUGUGAAAUCCCUCGGCUCAACCGAGGAAUGGCGCUUGAUACUGCACGGCUUGAGGGAGACAGGGGUAAGCGGAACUGAUGGUGGAGCGGUGAAAUGCGUUGAUAUCAUCAGGAACACCGGUGGCGAAAGCGGCUUACUGGGUCUCAUCUGACGCUGAGGAACGAAGGCCAGGGGAGCAAACGGG
rnacentral:rRNA from 1 species